UUUCAAUAUUAUUUUAAUAUUUUAAUUUAAUUAUUUUAUAUUUUUCUAUUUUUAUUGAGAACUUCAGCAAGGGUUCUGUGUCCCCACCCAAAUCUCAUCUUGAAUUGUAGCUCCCAUAACUCCUACAGGUUGUGGGAGGAACCCGGUGGGAGAUAACUGAAUUAUGGGGGCAGUUUCCCCCCAUACUGUUCUCAUGGUAGUAAAUAAGUCUCACAAGAUCUGAUGUGUUUAUAAGGGGUUCCCCUUUCACUUGGCUCUCAUUCUCUCUUGUCUGCCGCCAUGUAAGAUGUGCCUUUCACCUUCUACCAUGAUUGUGAGGCCUCCCCAGUACUGUAAGUCCAUUAAGCCUCUUUUUCUUUAUAAAUAACCCAGUCUCAGGUAUGUCUUUAACAGCAGCAUGAAAACAGACUAAUACAGUAAAUUGGUACCGGUAGAGUGGAGUGCUGCUGUAAAGAUACCCAAAAAUGUGGAAGUGACUUUGGAACUGGGUAACAGGCAGAGGCUGGAACAGUUUGGUGGGCUCAGAAGAAAACAGGAAAAUGUGGGAAAGUUUGGAACUUCCUAGAGGCUUGUUGAAUGGCUUUGACCAAAAUGCUGAUAGUAAUAUGGACAAUAAAAUCCAGGCUGAGGUGACCUCAGAGGGAGAUGAGAAACUUGUUGGGAACUGGAAUAAAGGUGACUCUUGUUAUGUUUUAGCAAAGAGACUGGUGGCAUUUUGCCCCUGCCCUAGAGAUUUGUGGAACUUUGAACUUGAGGGAGAUGAUUCAGGGUAUCUGGCAGAAGAAAUUUCUAAGGAGCAAAGCAUUCAAGAGGUGACUUGGGUGCUGUUAAAGGCACUAAGUUUUAAAAGGAAAACAGCAUAAAAGUUUGGAAAAUGUGCAGCCUGAAUAUGUGGUAGAAAAACAAAAAAAACAUUUUCUAAGGAGAAAUUCAAGCCAGCUGCAGAAAUUUGCAUAAGUAACAAAAAGCCAAAUAUUAAUCACCAAGACAAAGGGGAAAAUGUCUCCAGGGCAUGUCAGAGACAUUUGCAGCAGCCCCUCCCAUCACAAGCCCAGAGGUCUAGGAGGAAAAAAUGGUUUCAUGGGCUGGCCCAGGGCCCCCCUGCUAUGUGCAGUCUAGUGACUUGGUGCCUUACGUCCCAGCCACUCUAGCCAUGGCUAAAAGCGGUCAAAGUAGACUGGGUGCAGUGGCUCACACCUGUAAUCCCAGCACUUUGGGAGGCCGAGGCAGGUGGAUCACCUGAGGUCAGGAGUUCGAGACCAGGCUGGCCAACAUGGUGAAACCUCGUCUCUACUAAAAAUACAAAAAUUAGCCAGGCAUGAUGGCAUGUGCCUGUAAUCCCAGCUACUCGGGAGGCUGAGGCAGGAGAGUCGCUUGAACUCAGGAGGUAGAGGUUGGGGUGAGCUAAGAUCAUGCCAUUGCACUCCAGCCUGGUGACAGAGCAAGACUCCAUCUCAAAAAAAUAUAAAAAUACAAAUAAAGGGGGGCCAAGGUAUAGCUCAGGUUGUGGCUUCAGAGGGUGCAAGCCACAAGCCUUGGCAGCUUCCAUGUGGUGUUGGGCCCGCGAAUGCACAGAAGUCAAGAGUUGGGGUUUGGGAACAUUUGCCUAGAUUUCAGAGGAUGUAUGGAAAUGCCUGGAUGUCUAGGCACAAGUUUGCUGCAGCGGCAGUACCCUCAUAGAGAAGCUCUGCUAGGGCAGUGUAGAAGGGAAAUGUGGGAUUGAAGGCCCCACACAGAGUCUUCACUGGGGUACUGCCUAAUGGAGCUGUGAGAAGAGGAUCACCGUCCUCCAGACCCCAGAAUGGUAGAACCACCAGCAGCUUGCAUUGUGCACCUGGAAAAGCUGCAGACACUCAAUGCCAGCUCACGAAAGCAGCCAGAAGGGAGGCUGUACCUUGCAAAGCCACAGGGGCAGAGCUGCCCAAGACCAUGGGAACCCACCUCUUGCAUCAGCAUGACCUGGAUGUGAAACAUAGAGGCAAAGGAGAUCAUUUUGGAGUUUUAAGAUUUGACUGCCCCACUGGAUUUUGGACUUGCAUGGGGCCUUUAGCCCCUUCAUUUUGGCUCAUUUCUCCCAUUUGGAAUGGGUGUAUUUAUCCAAUGCUUGUACCUCCAUUGUAUCUAGGAAGUAACUGACUUGCUUUUGAUUUUACAGGCUCAUAGGCAGAAGGGACUUGCCUUGUCUCGGAUGAAACUUUGGACUGUGGACAUUUGAGUUAAUGCUGAAAUGAGUUAAGACUUUGGGGGACUGUUGGGAAGGCAUGAUUGGUUUUGAAAUGUGAAGACAUGAGAUUUGAGAGGGCCCAGGGGUGGAAUGAUAUGGUUUGGAUGUGUCCGCACCCAAAUAUCAUUUUGAAUUGUGGCUCCUAUAAUUCUUACAUGCUGUGGGAGGGAACUGGUGGGAGAUAAUUGAAUCAUGGGGGCAGUUCCCCAUACUGUUCUCCUGGUAGUAAAUAAGUCUCAUGAAAUACGAUUUUUUUUUUUUUUUAGACAGUUUCACUCUUGUUGCCCAGGCUGGAGUGCAAUGAUGCGCUCUUGGCUCACUGCAACAUCUGCCUCCUAGGUUCAAGCUAUUCUCCUGUCUCAGCCUCCUGAGUAGCUGGGAUUACAGGCACCCACUAUGACGCCUGGCUAAUUUUUUUUGUAUUUUUAGUAGAGACAGGGUUUCACUAUGUUGGCCAGGCUGGUCUUGAACUUCUGGCCUCAGGUGAUCCUCCCAUCUUGGCCUCCCAAAAUGCUGGGAUUGCAGGCAUAAGCCACCACACCCAGCUGAGAUCUGAUGUUUUUAUAAGGGGUUUCCCUUUCUCUUGGCUCUCAUUCUGUCUUGCCUGCUGCCAUUUAAGAGGUGACUUUCGCCUUUCACCAUGAUUGUGAGGCCUCCUCAGCCACGUGGAACUGUGAGUCCAUUAAACCUCUUUUUCUUUAUAAAUUACCCAGUCUCAGGUAUGUCUUUAUCAGCAGCAUAGGAACAGACUAAUACAGGUUCUAUGGACAGAGCUCUGAUCUCUCCCUGGGAUAGAGUUCCUGGGUAGAGGGAUAGCCACCAUCUCUGUGGUUCAGUAGACUCAGCUGUUCCAACCUGCUGGUUUUGGAGAAUACAAACAGUCCUGACAAGGAAGAGUUCUUCCAAAUUGAGUACACCUGCUCUAUUAAAAACCAGCCAGACUGUUUCUUUAAGCAGGUCCCUGAUCCUGUUCCUCCUGAGUGGGUAAGACUUCCCAACAGGGUCUCCAGCAACCUUCUACAGGAAUGUUCAGGACAGCAACAGGUCAGUACCACCCUAAGAUGGAGCUUCCAGAGGAAGGAGCAGGCUGCUGUCUUUGCUGUUUUGCAGUCUUCACUGGUGAUACCUCCAGGUACAAGAAAACCGAGGCAACUGAGGUCUGGAGUAGACCCACAGCAAACCACAGCACCCCUACAGUAGAGAGGCCUGACUGUUAAAAAAAAAAAAUCAGAAAAUAUCAACAACAUCAACAAAAAAGAUCCCACACAAAAAAAAAACCCAAAGGUCAACAACCUCAAAAACUGAAGGUAGAUAAGCCCACAAAGAUGAGAAACAAACAAUGCAAAAACACUGAAAACACAAAAAACCAGAGUGCUUCUUCUCCAAAUGACUGCAACACAUUUUUUAGCAAGGGCACUGAACUGUGCUGAGGCUGAGAUAGCUGAGUUGACAGAAGUAGGCUUCAGAAGGUGGGUAAUAAUGAACUUUGCUGAGCUAAAGGAGCAUGUUAUAACCCAAUACAAAGAAGCUAAGAAUCAUAAUAAAAUAAUACAAUAGCUGAUACCAGAACAACCAGUUUUGAGAGGAACAUAAAAGACCUGAUAGAGCUGAAAAAUAUAACUUGAGAACUUCACAACUUCACAAUCACAAGUAUCAAUAGCUAAAUAGACCAAGUGGAGGAAAGAAUCUCAGAGCUUGAAGACUAUCUUUCUGAAAAAGACAAGGCACAGAAGAAUAGAGAAAAAAGAAUGAAAAGGAAUGAACAAAACCUCCAAGAAAUAUGGGAUUAUGUAAAGAGACAACCUAUGACUGAUUGAGGUAACUGAAAGAGACAGAGUAUGGAACCAAGUUGGAAAACAUACUUCAGGGUAUCAUCCAGGAGAACUUUCCCAACCUAGCAAGACAGGCCAACAUUCAAAUUCAGGAAAUGCAAAGAUCACCACUAAGAUACUUUAUGAAAAAUCAACCCCAAGACACACAAUCAUCAGAGUCUCCAAGGUUGAAAUGAAAGAAAAAAUGUUAAGAGAAGCCAGAGAGAAAGGCCAGGUCACCUACAAAGGGAAGCCCAUCAGACUAACAGCAGAACUCUCAGUGGAAACCCUAUAAACCAGAAAAGACUGGGGGCCAAUAUCAACAUUCUCAAAGAAAAAAAGAAUUUCCAACCCAGAAUUGCAUAUCCAGCCAAACUAAGCUUCAUAAGCAAAGGCGAAAUAAGAUCUUUUUUAGACAAGCAAAUGCUGAUGAAAUUCAUCACCACCAGGACUGCCUUGCCAGAGCUCCUGGAGGAAGUGCUAAAUAUGGAAAGAAAAAACCAUUAUAAGCCAUUACAAAAACACAGAGAUACAUAGACCAGUGACACUAUGAAGCAACCACAUGAACAAGUCUGCAAAAUAACCAGCUAGCAUCAUGAUGAUAGGAUCAAAUUCACACAUAACAAUACUAACCUGAAAUGUAAAUGAGCUAAAUGCCCAAAUUAAAAGACACAGAAUGGCAAGCUGGAUAAAGAGCCAAAACCCAUCCGUAUGUCAUCUUUAAGAGACUCAUCUCAUGUGCAAAGAUACACAUAGGCUCAAAAUAAAUGGAUGGAGGAAAAUUUACCAAGCAAAUGGAAAACAGAAAAAACCAGAGGUUGCAAUCCUACUUUCUGGCAAAACAGACUUUAAACCAACAAAAAGUCAAAGAACACAAGGAAGGACAUUAUAUAAUGGUAAUGGGUUCAAUUCAACAAGGAGCGCUAACUAUGCUAAAUAUAUAUGUACUCAAUGCUGGAUCACCCAGAUUCAUAAAGCAAGUUCUUAGAGAGACUUAGACUCCCAUACAAUAAUAGUGGGAGACAGAUCAUUGAGACAGAAAAUUUCCAAAGAUAUUCAGGACCUGAACUCAACUCUGGAUCAAGUAUACCUGAUAGAUAUCUACAGAACUCUCUAUCCAAAAACAAGAGAAUAUACAUUCUUCUCAUCGCCAUAUGGCACUUACUCUAAAAUUGAUGACAUAAUCAAAAGUAAAACUCCUCAGCAAAUGCAAGGGAAUUGAAAUCAUAACAGUCUCUCAGACCACAGCACAAUCAAAUUAGAACUCAAGAUUAAGAAAUGUACUCAAAAGCACACAACUGCAUAGAAAUUGAACAUCCUGCUCCUGAAUGACGCUUGGGUAAACAAUGAAAUUAAGGCAGAAAUCAAGAAAUUCUUUGGAACUAAUGAGAACAAAGAGACAACAUACCAGAAUCUCUGGGAUGCAGCUAACAGUGUUAAGAGGGAAACUUAUGGCACUAAAUGCUCACAUCAAAAAGUUAGAAAGAUCUCAGGUUAACAACCUAAUAUCUCAACAAAAAUAACUACAGAACUAAGAGAAAACAAACACCAAAGCUAGCAGAAGACAAGAAAGAAUCAAGAUCAGAGCUGAAAUGAAGGAGACAGACACACAAAAAACCCUUUUAAAAAAAAUCAAUGAAUCCAGGAGCUGGCUUUUUGGAAAAAAAUAAUAAAUGAGAUAGGCCAGUAACUAGACUAAUAAAGGAGAGACGAAUCAAAUAGACACAAUCAGAAAUGAUAAUGAUGGGGUAUCGCCAGUGAUCCCACAGAAAUACAGAUAACCAUCAGAGAAUACGAUAAACACCUCUAUGCACAUAAACUAGAAAAUCUAGAAUAAAUGGAUAAAGUCCUGGACACAUAACACCCUCCCAAGACUGAAUCAGGAAGCAACUGAAUCCCUGAAUACAUCAAUAAUGAAUUCUGAAAUUGAGGCAGUAAUAAAUAGCCUACAAACCGAAAAAAAAAGCCCAGGACCAGAUGGAUUUACAGCUGAAUUCUACCAGAGGUACAAAGAAGAGCUGGUACCAUUUCUACUGGAGCUAUUCCAAACAAUGGAAAUGGAGGGACUCCUCCCUAACUUAUUCUAUGGGGCCAGCAUCAUCCUGAUACUAAAACCUAGCAGAGAUACAACAACAACAAAAUUCAGGCCAAUAUCCUUGAUGAAUAUCUAUGCAAAAAUCUUCAAUAAAAUACUAGCAAACUGAAUCCAGCAGCACAUCAAAAAGCUUAUCCACCACAAUCAAGUUGGCUUCAUCCCAGGAUGCAAGGUUGAUUCAACAAACACACAUCAAUAAAUGUGAUUCAUCACAUAAACAGAACUAAAGACAAAAACCACAUGAUUAUCUCAAUAGAUGCAGAAAAGACCUCUGAUAAAAUUCAACAUUCUUUCAUGUUAAAAAUUCUCAAUAAACUAGGUAUUGAAGGAACAUACCUCAAAAUAGUAAGAGCCAUCUAUGACAAACCCACAGCCAAUGUCAUAUCGAAUGGUCAAAAGCUGGAAGCAUUCCCUUUAAAAAUAAGCACAAGAAAAGGAUGCCCUCUCUCACCACUCCUAUUCAACACAGCAUUGGAAGUUCUGGCCAGGGCAGUCAGGCAAGAGAAAGAUAUAAAGCAUAUUCAAAUAGGAAAGGAGGAAAUCAAACCUUUAUUUGCAGAUGACAUGAUCCUGUAUCUAGAAAACCCUAUAGUCUCAGCCCAAAAGCUUCUUAAGCUGAUAAACAACUUCAGCAGUCUCAGGAUACAAAAAGCAAGUGCAAAAAUCACUAGCAUUCCUAUACACCAACAACAGGCAAGCAGAGAGCCAAAUCAUGAAUGAACUCCCAUUCACAGUUGCUACAAAAAGAAUAAAAUACCUAGGAAUAGACCUAACAAGGGAAGUGAAGGAUCUCUUCAAGGAGAGCUACAAGUCACUGCUUGAGGAAAUCAGAGAGGAUAUAAACAAAUGGGAAAACAUUCCAUGCUCAUGGAUAGGAAAAAUCAAUAUUGUGAAAAUGGCCAUACUGCCCAAAGUAAUUUAUAGAUUCAAUGCUGUUCCUAUUAAACUACCAUUAACAUUCUUCACAGAAUUAGAAAAACUAUUUUAAAAUUCAUAUGGAAGCAAGAAAGAGGCUGAAUAGCCAAGACAAUCCUAAGCAAAAAGAACAAAGCUGGAGACAUCAUGCAAUCCAACUUCAAACUAUACCACAAGGUUACAGUAACCAAAACAGCAUGGUACUGGUAUAACAGACACAUAGAUCAAUGGAACAGGAAAGAGACCUCCGAAAUAAGACCACACACCUACAACCAUCUGAUCUUCAACAAACCUGACAAAAACAAACAAUGAGAAAAGGGAUCCCUGCUUAAUAAACAGUGCUGGGAAAACCAGGUACUCAGGAGUCUCAGGCAGGAGAAUUGCUUGAACCCCAGAAAUGGAGGUUGCAGUGAGCUGAGAUCAUGCUACUGCACUCCAGCCUGGGUGGCAGAGUGAGACUCUGUCUCAAAAAAAAAAGACCUAGAGGCAGAAAUACAAUUUGACUCAGUAAUCCCAUUAUUGGAUAUAUACCCAAAGGGAUAUAAAUCAUUAUAAAGAUACAAACAAGUGUAUAUUCCUUGCAGCACUAUUCACAAUAGCAAAGACAUGGAAUCAACUGAAAUGCCCAUCAAUGAUAAACUAGAUAAACAAAAUGUGGUACGUAUACAUGACAUGGAAUACUAUGCAGCCAUAAAAAGGAAUGAGAUCAUGUCCUUUGCAGGGACAUGGACAGAGUUGGAAGCCAUUAUCCUCAGCAAACUAAUGCAGGAACAGAAAACCAAAAACUGCGUGAUCUCAUUUAUAAGUGGGAGUUGAAUGUUGACAACACAUGAACAAAUGGCAGGGAGCAACACACACUGGGGUCUGUCGGGGUCAGGGGAAGGGGGGAGGGAGAGCAUCAGGAAGAAUAGCUAAUGGAUGCUGGGCUUAAUACCUAGGUGAUGGGAUGAUCUGUGCAGCAAACCACCAUGACACACAUUUACCUAUGUAACAAACCUGCACAUCCUGCACAUGUAGCCCUGGACUUAAAAGUUGGAAAAAAAAAAAAAAAAACCUGUUUCCUAUACCCUCAUGGAAAAAGAUUAAUAUUUAUAUAUAAAUAUAGAAAUAAAAAAUAAUUCUGUUUUAAAUAUUAUU
rnacentral:lncRNA from 1 species